AUCGCUUCUCAGCCUUUUGGCUAAGAUCAAGUGUAGUAUCUGUUCUUAUCAGUUGAAUAUCUGAUACAUCCUCUAUCCAAGGACAAUAUGUUAAAUGGAUUUUGGGAUCAGGGAGUUGGUAUAGGAGCUUGCUCUCCACUCCAUACAUCGCCCGGGUUUUGCAGUACCUCUAGGACCAGUGCCCACCUU
rnacentral:snRNA from 1 species